ACUAACUUUAGAUUCAAAACUCAUUACUAGAUGUCGUUAGUGUCGUCGAUGUUCUUUCAUGGAGAAACGAGGCGAAAUAUGACGAAACAAAUUAUUGCUAGUUUAUAUACUUAUUCCUGUGAUUUCAAAUAUCAAAUUGAACUUUGUAUCUCAUAUGCAUACUGUCAGUCAUUCCAACAAGUUGACUUAGCGCUCAGUCAAUUUCCAUCCAUUAGGCCCAUCAUGCUGUCAAAAGCCUAAAACUCAUGUUUUAAGCAUACAUAUAGUGUAAUACAAAUGUGCCGAGAUAAGGAUCUCUGAAUCUCGCAAUUUUGGUGGUGUACCCUGCAACAGCAUGUUUGCUGUUAUGGCUGUUUCUACUUCUAGAUCUGCAAACACUAAGGUUAUAAAUUUCGUUCUUGUGGUCAAUGGAGUUGGCGCUGGUUGCCGUUACUGGCCUUUUGCGACGUCUUUAUAUUAGUUUGGAAGGAUAGCUCUGAACUCUAGGGAAUCCUCACUCAUACUCGAGUCAACCUGCAGACAGGUCGGCCAGUUUGUCCAGACAUGAUGUCCUUCUCGCUUGAAGGUCGCGGGAAACAUUACGUGUAAAACUUUCAAUGCGGUGGUGUAGAGGUUGGGUGAGAAUGACACGUGUUUCGUCAUUAUCAAAGCAGACCCAUCCCCCAUCAACGUCACCUGGCAGAAGGAAAGGCUAGUUUGCAUUUCAAUCGAAGGUUAUGGAGAUCAUUUCGUAAAAGGUGUCAUGCAGUGGUGUAGAGGUUGGGUGAGAACAGUAAGUUUUGCAUCAUUAUCAAGAAGGUAAAAUAACCGCAAGGCUUAAGAGGAGGGGUGAGAAAAAGUCGUAUAAAAGGCGAGAGAAAAGUCGACAGGGAUCAGUCGAGCGAGUAUCUCCGACACGGCAACAGCUGCAUUUCUCUAUUUGCCAUUCAGCUGCAUUCUUCAUCGUAUUAUCAGUUCUCAAUCAUGGUCGUACAUAAGGGCAAGGAAAAGGCGAAAGAAAUCAGUCGAGUGAGCAUCUCGACACGAUAACAGCAACUGCAGUGAACUAUUUGUCACCAACUGUAUUAUUCGUCGAAUUGUUAGUUUAAAUCAUGGCAAAAUAUGGCGUCGUGCUGCAUUUGUGUGUUGCAUCGUUGAUGGCUGGGUCGGCCGCUGGUGUACCGAUGUCUCCUGGGCAUGGCGGAUAACAAAUUGCAACGCCGCCACCUUACUACACAACAUACGACACGACCAGUUGCUACACCGAAGUCCCCGAGUACUGCACCAAGGCUUCAGGUUAUUAUACCACAACUUAUGCUGCCCUGAGCUACUACACCGAAUCCCCGCAGUAUUGUUCUUCCCCGAGCUACACUACCAAAGGGUCGAUUACUACACCGAUGCUCCGAAGUACUGCACAACUACAUAUCAUGGAGAGAAAAAAGGCGAAAGAAAUCAGUCGAGUGGUCAUCUCCGACACGGCAACAGCAGCUGCAGUGCCAAGGCUCAGUAUUACACCACAACUUAUGUUACCCCGAGACUCUGCACCAAAGCGCCUGAGUGCUAUACCGAGGGCACUAAUUUCUACACCACCAAGGCACCGGAGUACUACACUGCAGCAUACGCUGCUCCAGAUUAUUACACCGAGGCUCCCCAACACUACACCACCAAGGCACUGGAGUACUACACCACUACAUAUCAUGUCGUAUGAACGGAGAGAAAAGGUGAAAGAAUUUAGCAGUCGAGUGAGCAUCUCCGUUACAGCAACAGGAACUGCCGUGCACUUUUUGUCAUCAACUUCAUUCUUCGUCCCAUUACAAGUUUAAAUAAUGUAAACUAUGGCGGCGUGCUGCUGUUGGGUGUUGUAUCGUUGAUGGAUGGGUCGACUACUGGUGUACCGAUGUCUUCUGGGUAUGGCGAUUACCAAAGUACAACACUGCUCUGCCGUCUUUCUGGUCUUUCUAUUUAGCAUCAACUUCCGCUGCUCCAGCUUACUACACUGAGGCUCUCAAGUGCUACUCCAUCAAGGCUCCAGUUUAUUACACCACAGCUCAUGUUGCCCUAAGCUACUAAGCAGAAUACCCGAAGUAUUUUUUCCCGAGCUACACUACCAAAGGGUCGAGUACUACGUCGAGGCUCCCAAGUACUACAUUACCAAGGCACCGGAGUACAAAAACGGUCGAUUACUACACAGAAGCAAUCAUAGCAACUAUGGCGUUGUGCUACUGUGAAUGUUUUAACGUUGAUCGCUGGAUGGACCACUGGUGUGCCGAUUUCUCCUGGAUAUGACGGGCAUGAAUAAUCCGUAGCAACCGGUUAUUACACUGGGGCCCCGAAUUACUACACCACCAAGGGUUCAGAGUGUAACAGAAGUAUUUUUCUUCCCAGAACUUCACUACCUUCACCACGCCGAUUACUGAACACCUACUUACCAUUCGAAGGUCUCCAGUGCUACGCCACAAUGACUCCUGACUACUACACCGAAUAUUUAACUUGUCACACCACUGAAGCGCCCAAGUACUGCACUACAACCUACGUUGCUCCAGCUUACACCACGAAGGCAGCGGAGUACUACACCACGAAGGCAGCGGAGUACUACACCACGAAGGCAGCGGAGUACUACACCACGAAGGCAGCGGAGUACUACACCACGAAGGCAGCGGAGUACUACACCACGAAGGCAGCGGAGUACUACACCACCGAGGCACCGGAGUACUACACCAUUAACUACGCUUCCGCAACUUGCUACAUUCUUUUGCUAAUUCUUUUGCAAGAUUUUUGGUAGUAACAUCAAGCCGUCAUCAUUUCGACAGGUGUCUAUUGGUGAUGGACUACUUUAAGCCCAGUAUCCUGCGCUGUAAUAUGUAUUUUUCAUAUUUUAGAGGUGACCACUGCCUUAAUCAGUCUGCAUACGGACGUAUUCUUGUGUUUUGACGAUUUCACAAGGAUAGGUUACGAAAGAAACUUGUAACUGUUGAUUUUGAAGUCUUAUAAGUAAAACACAAGUCACAAGUGGAUAAACUUUGUAUAAAUGAAAAACUUGAAGUUGAGAGUAAUACAUUGAAACAAUUCCUAAACA